UUACACAUGCAAGUCGAACGGCAGCACGGACUUCGGUCUGGUGGCGAGUGGCGAACGGGUGAGUAAUACAUCGGAACGUGCCUAGUAGUGGGGGAUAACUACUCCAAAGAGUGGCUAAUACCGCAUGAGAUCUACGGAUGAAAGCAGGGGAUCGCAAGACCUUGUGCUACUAGAGCGGCUGAUGGCAGAUUAGGUAGUUGGUGGGAUAAAAGCUUACCAAGCCGACGAUCUGUAGCUGGUCUGAGAGGACGAUCAGCCACACUGGGACUGAGACACGGCCCAGACUCCUACGGGAGGCAGCAGUGGGGAAUUUUGGACAAUGGGCGCAAGCCUGAUCCAGCAAUGCCGCGUGCAGGAUGAAGGCCUUCGGGUUGUAAACUGCUUUUGUACGGAACGAAAAGCUUCGGGCUAAUACCCUGGAGUCAUGACGGUACCGUAAGAAUAAGCACCGGCUAACUACGUGCCAGCA
rnacentral:rRNA from 1 species